rnacentral:rRNA from 1 species
GAGUUUGAUCCUGGCUCAGGAUGAACGCUAGCGGCAGGCUUCAUACAUGCAAGUCGAGGGGCAGCAUAAAUUACUUGUAAUUUGAUGGCGACCGGCGAACGGGUGCGUAACGCGUAUGCAACUUACCUUUUACUAGAGAAUAGCCAAGAGAAAUUUUGAUUAAUGCUCUAUGUUCUUAUUUACUCGCAUGAGUAAAUAAGCAAAGCUCCGGCGGUAAAAGAUGGGCAUGCGUCCUAUUAGCUUGUAGGUGAGGUAAUGGCUCACCUAAGCUCCGAUAGGUAGGGGUCCUGAGAGGGAGAUCCCCCACACUGGUACUGAGACACGGACCAGACUUCUACGGAAGGCAGCAGUAAGGAAUAUUGGACAAUGGAGGCAACUCUGAUCCAGCCAUGCCGCGUGAAGGAAGACGGCCUUAUGGGUUGUAAACUUCUUUUAUACAGGAAGAAACCUUUCCACGUGUGGAAAGCUGACGGUACUGUAAGAAUAAGGAUCGGCUAACUCCGUGCCAGCAGCCGCGGUAAUACGGAGGAUCCAAGCGUUAUCCGGAAUUAUUGGGUUUAAAGGGUCCGCAGGCUGUUUGUUAAGUCAGAGGUGAAAUCCUACCGCUCAACGGUAGAACUGCCUUUGAUACUGGCAAACUUGAGUUAUUGUGAAGUAGUUAGAAUGUGUAGUGUAGCGGUGAAAUGCAUAGAUAUUACACAGAAUACCGAUUGCGAAAGCAGAUUACUAACAAUAUACUGACGCUCAGGGACGAAAGCGUGGGUAGCGAACAGGAUUAGAUACCCUGGUAGUCCACGCCGUAAACGAUGGAUACUAGCUGUAUGUCUACUUCAGGUAGAUGUGUGGCUAAGCGAAAGUGAUAAGUAUCCCACCUGGGGAGUACGAUCGCAAGAUUGAAACUCAAAGGAAUUGACGGGGGCCCGCACAAGCGGUGGAGCAUGUGGUUUAAUUCGAUGAUACGCGAGGAACCUUACCAGGGCUUAAAUGUAACGGGACAGAUCUAGAGAUAGAUCCUUCUUCGGACUCAUUACAAGGUGCUGCAUGGUUGUCGUCAGCUCGUGCCGUGAGGUGUCAGGUUAAGUCCUAUAACGAGCGCAACCCCCAUCGUUAGUUGCCAACGAGUAAUGUCGGGAACUCUAACGAAACUGCCGGUGCAAACCGUGAGGAAGGUGGGGAUGACGUCAAAUCAUCACGGCCCUUACGUCCUGGGCUACACACGUGCUACAAUGGUCGGUACAGAGAGCAGCCACUACGCGAGUAGGAGCAAAUCUUCAAAGCCGAUCUCAGUUCGGAUCGGAGUCUGCAACUCGACUCCGUGAAGCUGGAAUCGCUAGUAAUCGGAUAUCAGCCAUGAUCCGGUGAAUACGUUCCCGGGCCUUGCACACAC